rnacentral:lncRNA from 1 species
UCUACCUGCUCAUCUUGGUGCAGGGACCUAAGCCCCUUCUACCACCAUUGGGUUAGGUUUUCUCUUUCUUCUUGAUUUCUUUGGCUCUGUCCUUUCAUCUGAAGUCGGAUCUAAGCCCUAAAACUUUGGGCACGUUCCAAACCACCACCGGAAGUCCCCACUGUAAAAGAACAGAGGGGCUGCUACCUAAUCAUUCCCACAUAACAAGUGAAGUUACAGGGAGGGAGGAACGAACGGAAAGUGUCCCACUAACCCUGGCAUUUAUGACAGCUCCUGGAUUUUCCAAUCUUUACCGCGCUGCAUGAAGGGAACGAGCAAAACCUACAGCUAACAUCCAUGUAACCUCUUGCUGGAGCCUGCAGUGAGGAGAGCACCGUGGAGGAUAGGCUCAUGGACUCCAGUUCGAGGUGUAGCCCAGUCUGAGCCUGUUUACUUGUGAUGGGACUUGAGCUGGGCAUCGCGUUUGCUUUCUGUCCAGAGUUCACUAAGUGACAUUACUUGUUCUUUAGACUAUCCAUCCACUUCAUGAACAAUAACAUCAUCGAAUAUUUACAAUGAAGCUGAACUUCUCUUGGUAGGUUUCAAGUGGCGCUGCACACUUGAAUCAACAGUCUUUGCACAAUUCUACACCAAGGUUCUUCUCAAAAUCAGAAAAAGAAAAACAAAAAACCUGCCACACCAAAAUAGUCACGUGAAAUGUUCAUACCUGCUUUAGUUCCAUUGGAGUGUAUAUGGGAAACAAUAGCCAAGGAGAGAUGAGGCGGGCACGUAAGAGGUGAUGUAUCCAUUCAAUGGAAUAUUAUUCAGCAAGAGAAAGGAGAGGGAUCAAGACACUUGUCACAUCACGGAGGAACCUCAGAAAUAUGCUAAAAGCCACAUGCAAUACGACACAUUAUUCCACUCAUAUGUAAUGUCUAGAAAAGAUGAGAGAGCUGUGAGAUGGAAUUGCAUGCA